rnacentral:tRNA from 1 species
GGCUUUAUACUUUAAAUAGAAGAUUUGAUUUGCAAUCAAAAAGUGGGUAUCCUGAAGCCUC